AUGAGCUGGCGCCCGGGAAUGCGCACACGGGACGUCCUGAGCCACGUCGGAGCUGUUCCCGUAAAGCUGCCCCAGCUCAGGACUGCCAACCCUGCUUUUGUCCCAGGUUAGAACUCGCGCCCACGGACCUCCCGGGCCACUGGCUGGUUCUCUGCCGCCACCUAGAGGACACUCCCCAGGGCUCCUAGGCCCGUUGCAUGAAGGGACUGACCUCGGGUUUGAUCUUACAACCGCCUCUCUCUGGGCACUGGGGCAGGUGUGGAAAAACUCCUUUUCCUAACACGAACGGCCCCGAAUUUCAGCUCUCGUUGUUUAUUACUUGCACCAUUCUCACUGAGUGACUUCCCCUUCUGAGCUUCAGCGUUCUCACUUGUAAAAUGGGAAGAAGAAAAAAAGGGAAGAAAUAAAGAGAGAAAGAGAAAAAGAAAGAGAGGGAGAAAGAAAGAGAGGGAGAAAGAAAGAAAGAAAGAAAGAAAGAAAGAAAGAAAGAAAGAAAGAAAGAAAGAGAGAGAGAGAAAGAGAGAAAGAGAGAAAGAAAAGAAGGAAGAAAGAAAGAAAAGAAGGAAGAAAGAAAAGAAGGAAGGAAGAAAGGAACGGACACGGGGCCUGGCCGCUUACUGAAGUUGGAGCAAGGCUGGCGCCUCUGUGAACUUCCUGCGAACCCGCAAGGACUUGGAGCAAGAACCCUGGGUGCUCAGGCUCACGGCUAAGUAUCAGUCUAAUCAAAAGUCACCGCCCAGACAAGGAGGUUCUGACGGUAUUGCCGUGCGAGGUGGACAGUGAGUGGUGCACCGCCUGGGAAGCCUCUGAACCUGGCAACGACAGAACCUGUUUUUCCUCCCUGACACACCCCAAUGACAGCCCGCCUCGAGCAACAGGAAGGGUGCCGUUAACCUGGCCUCGGCCCUGCUCACACACUUGCUCGGGGGUGGGAGGGCUCUGCUGCCAGGGCCAGCAGGGAGAGGGCGGAAACGGGAAAUGGCGCGCUCAGGACCUACAGUCACCGUCCACAGAGGCGGCGCUGUCGCUCGGCUUCCGCGUUCGCUGGGACCUAAGGUGACAGCUGCAGAUUACAGAUCCUCAGGUAGCGUGCACCUCUGGAAUGCUGGCUCAUAGGGACCGCUAUACCAACCCCCAGGUUGGAGUUGUUUUUUUUUUUUUCUUUAGAUGGCAGCCUGCCAUGCACCCCAACAGCACUGAGUAAAAUGUUUAUCCUGUUUCUUGCUCUAUUCCGGCUUCCGCUCCAACCAACGUGAGGCACCUGAAUCAGAUUCCCAGAUCCCACAGCUGUGGUUCCAGAGCAGACCUUUGCCUAAAUUCCCCAGAGGGCCUACAGGAGAAACCAACGGUCGGUCAAGCAGCCAGCAUCUUCAGACUCCCUGCUGCCGCCUGACUUCUUAAAUUGGCGUAAGACGUCUUUGAAGCUCCUGGCCAACAGUUGAAAGGGUGAAGAAACUGGGCACGACGCCUCAUGUCUGUAAUCCCAGCAUAGACGACAGGAGGCAGGACAAUUCCUGUGAGUCUGAGGCUAGCCUGUGAUGUGUAGUGAGUUUGGGGUCAGCCUUAGCUGCCGAGUAAGAACCUAUCUCAAGAAUACAAAAACAAAGCAAACAAAAAACGCACAACAAAACAAAACAAAACAGGGGGCCGGCAGGUAAAAGCACCUGCCGCACCAGUCUGAAGACCUGAGUUUGUUUUCCGCCGUCGUCGACCGAGCUCCACUUGUGGCCACGGUUGCCCCACCCCCACGGCAAUAAUAAACGGAUAACUUUGGAAAUCAACAAUUAAAUAAAAUUGAUGAGAUUUUAAAGGAAGGCUGAAAACAAAAUAAGCAAACGAUGAAAACAAGACCCCACUGCAACUGCUCUCUCCUCGUGGAUCUUACUGUGACACAAGUGUUCGACGUUGCUGUGUGUAAUUUGGCUAUCUAUAGAAGCCAGGAAACCUGAAGGAGCUAUGGAGCAGGCAGAGCUUGGGGAGCUAAGAGAAAUCAAGCUGGAGCAGAUAUGGAAGCGUCCUGCCUAUUGGCUAGCUUUCAUAGAACCAGAAAGUGCUCUGCCGAGGGAGGUUUCGGAAAAGUCACCGACAGAGUUGUCUACACAUGAAUCCGACAAGCUGCACCAAUAAUUGGCCUGCCAAGGUACACCCGUGGAUGUCAUAGUGCCAUGCUAACAGGGGUUAGCAACUGCUUUCUGAUUGGGUUUCAGGCUAAAUCUGCAGGAAGAAACACACAGCUGGUACUGUAAAUCUAGCCAAGAACCCACGAAUGGGAUCUCAUAAGCCCUGGGAGUAAACCUACUACUACUAUUUUGCUAAAUUGGCACAGCAUCAAACUGCCUUUGUUAUGCAUUAUCUCUUACAAUAGGUUAGUGAAGCUCUCAUGCAAAAAAAUUUUAAUAUUUAUUUUUAUGUCUAUGAAUGCUCUAUCUGCAUGUACACCUGCACACCAGAAGAGGGCAUCCGAUCUCAUUAUAGAUGGCUACGAGCCUCCAUGUGGUGGCUGGGAAUUGAACUCAGGACCUCUGGAAGAGCAGACAAUGCUCUUAACCUCUGAGCUAUCUCUUCAGCCUGAGGCUCUCAUUCUUAAUUGUAGAAAAGGGUCUUUGGGCAGUGGAUGGUGGUUGGUAUGGACUCAUGACUGGUCAAAUGCAGAAAACAAGUGACUACAGGCGCUCAGCCGUAAGUGAAGUAUUUAUAUUACACCCCGUAACAGUUACUUUUUGUUGUGAUAAAAUAACAUGACCAAAAAAUAGCUUGUGGAAGAGUUUAUUUUGGCUCAUUGUUCCAAAGAGAUAAGGGUCCGUCAUGGUGGGGAGAGUGCAGCAAGGGGGCGGCAUGGCAGCUGAGCAGGAAGCCAAGAGAUCACUUUCAAUUGCACAAAAGAUUCAGAGAGUGUGAACUCUAAGAGUGGGGUUACACACUCUCAAAACUCAACCCUAGGGAUGCAUGUCCUCUGGGAGGGCUCCACACCUCCGUAGGUUCCAUUCCUCUUCAAACAGCACCACCAACUAGAGACCAAGCGUUCAAAUAUCUGAGCCUGUGGGGAACACUUCUUAAUUAAACUACUAUCUGUCCCCUCCCCACACAGCUCAAGAAACAGUGUGGAAUCGGACUGGGUGGUUAAUGUUCUCUUUCCAUUUACUGACUUAAGGUUUGGUCUGCUCUCUUUGUGGGGUCAUAAAGAGUAUCGUUAUUUAUCUGAGACCUCUCUGAUUUCUGAUUUCUUUUUUCUUUUUUCCCCCAAGACCAGAUUUCUCUGUGUAGCCUUAGCUGUCCUGGACUCGCUUUGUCAGAGCAGGCUGGCCCCGAACACACUGAGAUCCACCUGCUUCUUCCUUCCCGAGUGCUGGGAUUACAGGCGUGCGCCUCCUUACCCGGCUUUUCCUCUCCGAUUUCUUAAUGUAGGAGGAGGCACAACUGUAAACUUUCCUCAUAGGACUGCCUCCUUGUGUCUCAAAGGUCGGGUGUAUUGUUUUCAUUCUCUAGGAAUUCUUUUCUCUUUGAUUUGUUUAAGGACCAAUUUCCCACUCAGUGGUGUGUAGUGUGGCCUAGGCUCUCUCUUGCUACUGAUUUGUAGUCUUAAUCCAUUGUGAUCAGAUCGAAUACAAGGAGUUUUUUUUUUUUCAGUUUUCCUACAUUUAUUUAGAUUUGCUUUGUGUCCUAAUAUAUAUUUGAGAGAAUAUGCAAUAGAAUGCUGAUAAAAACCAGUAGUCUAUGAGUAGUAUGAUCUAUAGAUAUUUGGUAAGUUCAUUUGAUCCCUGAUGUCAUUGUUUUUUUAAUCUAUGAUGUCAGAUAUUUCUAGUUGUUUUCUUUUCAGAAAGACCUGAUAGUUGGUGAGACUGGGGUACUGAAGUCACUCACUGCAACUGUGCUAGGGCGAGUCUAUGACUUUACCUCUAGCACUAGUUUAUGAAAUUGGGGCGUAUACACUGAAAACCACAAUGUUCUCCUGAUUCAUUCUCUUCAUCAGCAUGAAGUGCCCUUCUCUGUCUUCUGUCACUAGUUUUGGACUGGAGUCUAUUUUAUUAGAUAUUAAAACAGACCCCUGCUUUUUCGCCUAAUUCUGUUUGCUUAGGUUUAUUUCCCCACCCUUGUGGCUUAAGGUCAGAACUUUCUUGUGGUAAGGUGUGUUUCUUUGAGGCAAAAAAAAUACAUGGUUUAUGUUCAUCCCUGAUUUCUGAUCCAAACUACUGGUCUUUGACUUUUGACUGAGAAAUUGAGGCCAUUAACAUUCAGUGUUACUGUUGAAAGAUGUGUAUUUAUUCAUGUCACUUGAUUUUGUAGUGUCUCUUAUGCCCUCUUGCCUUCCUCUCUUUCUUCACUAUUCUAGUGUGGUCUUUUCUUUCCUGUGGCUUGUGGUUAGGUUUGUGUUUUUCUUCAGUCUGAGAAGUUCUUUCAGUUAUCUUCUGCAGAGCUGACUUCACGGCCAUAAAUUCUUAGUCUUUGUUGAAAGUUUACUUUUUCCUUCAGUUAUGAGAAAUUGCAUUGGUGAGUAUAGCAGUAUGAGUCGGCAGUUGUUUCUUUCGGAACGUGAAGUAGAUCUUUCCAAGCCCUCCCAGCUCUUAAACGUCCAGGUGACAAAUCUAUGUCAUUCUGAUGGGCCUGUUUUUAUGGUAACUUGCUGCAUCUCACCUGUUACUUUGAAUAUGCUGUCUUUGCUAAAAUUAAAGUCUUCUUCUGUUGGGCCAAUAACCCAUAAAUCUAGCCUUUUACCUUUUUUAAAGAUUGAUAUUUUUUUGUUUUAAUUUUGUAAGUAUGGAUGUUUUGUUUGAAUGUAUGUAUAUGUAUUAUAUGUGUGCAGUGGCUAGGAUGCCGGAAGAGCACUUUAGAUCCCCUAUAACUGGAAUUAAAGAUGACUAUAAAUUGCUGUAUGGCUGCUGGAAUCAAACCCAAAUCCUCUAGAAUAGCAGCCAGCGCUUUAAACAGCUGAGCCAUCUAGCUAUGCCAAAUCUAGCCAUUUCAGGAUAUCACUUGUGUCUUGAAAUUCUUACAGAUGUUUUAAAAAAUAUUUUAUUGUUGUCUGUAUUGACUCGUUGUUCUUUGUCUUUUGAGUUCAGAUGAUUUAUCUUCCCUGUGAUCUAUUCUCUUGGUGAGACUUCCCACACAGCGAGACCUGCAAGACAAUUAAAAACAAAACUCAGCAAUUAUGAUCUUUAAAAGUCAAUCACGUUAAAAAAAGAAAAAAAGAAAAAAGAAAAACAAGCAAAAAGCAGCUAUAGUGUUUAAGUAUUUCAGGGUAGAGGACCCCAAAAGUGAAAGAUUCACCCCCACCUUGAAUAAACACCAAAAAUGUCCUUUUCCCCUUUGACAGCACCACCCUUGGGGGACAGAGAUACUGAAAGUGUUUAAGCCAAAAAAGUCUUUGGCUCUGCUCUGCCCAGAGGCCAGUGAUGCCAGAGAGCGGGUGGGAGUCUGGAUUCUUGCUCUUCUCCCUAAAUGAGCAUCCCUUUUCUUGGAAACUGUGUGUAAGGAUAUAACUAAAACCGAGGGGUGUCUGAACUCCUUGUAAUUGGGAAUUAUACUGGCUAGUUCCUACUCCCACUGCACCUCAUCAAGUAAAGCUUUGCUAACUCUAAGUGCCUGUAGUCUCACCUCACUCCCAGAGAGGUGCUCCUGUGGCCUCUCCUUUUCUCUUUCUCUUAAGAUCCCACCUAGGAAUCUGUAAUCAAUUUCUUUCUAAGACUCAGCCUCUGAGGCCUAUGACUUUCAUUCUUCGAAUUUGUGGGGUGAGACCAUGAAAGCCACUGGCUCAUUGUGACUGGGUACCCAGCACCCUAACUCCUGGGCUUAGUUUAUCAGGAGCCAUAAAUGGGUCUGACACUCUCAAAGACACCCCAAAAGUUCGUGUAUCACUGGGAUAAUCUUUGACUUACUGCUUUUUUUUUUUUUUUCAGAGCCAGUAUUUUUCUUUUCCAAGAGUCUGUCUCUGUCCUUGUCUGUCUUUGUCUCUGUCUCUCUGUCACACACACACACACACUCCCUAGGCUACUGUGUGUUCAUUGCUCCUCAGGAAAAGUGAACCAGUCUGGCCCAGUGCAUAGCAGCUUACAAAUCCUGCCUGAGUUACUAGAACUGAACACCACAGACUGGGAGCUGACAAGGAGCAGAAUCUGUUGCCUCACAGUUCAGGAGGCUGAGAAGUCCAAUGUGAUGGUGCUGACAAUGGCCUCUUGCUCAAGAAAGUUAAGAGUCUGAAAGAGCAAUGGGAAAUAUGGAUGACACCAAACUCCCUCUGGUGACCAACUCACACUUGUGAUAAUGGAACAAAUUCCCUCCCAGACUAAUUAUCUCUUAAAAGUCCCAUUCUUAACAAUGCCAUAGUGUUUGCAUUUCAACAUGAGAUUUGUUUGUUUAUGGUUAGGUCUCCCUGUGUUGCCCUGUCUGGCUUUCAACUUCUGUUUUCAGCCAUUUUUCUAUCUUAGCCUCCUGAGUAGCUUUGAGUACAGGCGUGGACCAUCAUGUUAGGGCUUCUGUGUAAGUGAAGGGCUCAUUCGAUCCAUAGCAACCAACCCUCCCCAACAAUACCAAAGAUUCCCUAACCUAAAAAUAGGGCCAAGACAUAAAGGAAAUAAUGAGGCAAGGGUCAGAGAAGCACUGUGGGUGUAGUUCAAGCAGCCAGACUUCCCUGAGGCAAGAGAAAGAAGGUUACGGGUCAAACAGUUGAGCAUGCUGGGAGCUAACGAACACCUAUGAGGGGUCCUGGCCAGAGGCAGAACAGAAGAGCCUUGGCUGAGCUUCUGUUUAGUGAGAUUUCUUCCCUUCACUCCCAGGAAAUGAGCUUAAGGAGGAAUUGAACUGUGAACCUUCUCAAAACUGUGCUCCACAAGUCCCUGAACUUUACUGCCUGUCCGGUCACCAGAGUUCAUCUGAAGGUCCCGAGCAGCUGAAGGAAGCUGUGUGCAUACAUGCUAGUGUGUGUGUGUGCGCACGCUCGCGUGUGUGUGACCUGAAGAAAUAAUUCAGAGCCCCUCAGACUUGCUCUGUUUUGAUCUGAGAUCUUCUUUCUAUUAUUGCUCAUACCAAGAAACACCCUUCGAAAGCACAAAGGUUAUCUGAUCAUCUCCCUUGACAGCUUGGCCCACCUUGAAGCCGGCACCCUCACCUCCUCCCUGGGAAGAAGUGGCAUCCCAUGUAUGACCAUGGAUGAUUAAAACAUGAACACCUUGUCUUUGGUGGCUGUUUGCUCAAAUGUGUUAGUGCCUACCUUUUCAUGAACAUACAUACAAAAGCAGUUGCCAUGUGUCAUCUUAGAAGGCAAAAGUAUGUAUAUUAAGAGGGUUUUUUGUUUGUUUUGUUUUUGCUGGGAAGUGGUCCUAGCACUUGGGAGGCAGAGACAGGUGGAUCUCUGAGUUUGAGGCCAGCAUGGUUUACAGAGUGAAUUCCAGGACAGCCAGGGCUACACACAAAAAAAAAUCCUAUCUCGAAAAACAAACAAAAAAGACAGUUUUUUCAUUUUUUAAAUUGUGGACCAGCCUGAUGAGGUGGCAGAAACCUUUAAUUUCAGCACUUGGGAGCAGAGGUGGGGGGUAUCUUUGUGAGUUUGAGGCCAGCCAGGUUUACACAGUGAGUUCUAGGCCAGCCUGGGAGGGAUACAUAGAGAGCUUCUCAUUCUCCAAACAUUGUGAACCAAAGGUGUAAAACCUGUUCAUGUUUAAGAUAUCCACUGUGGCGUUAUUAUAACCUGAUCAGUUCAUAAACAGUGACUGCUGAUUACACAAAAGGAAUAGUUUCUUUUUUCUCUUCUUAGGCUUUCAUACAGUACAGCCCUCUAACGAAACAGGCCUGUCUCCAACCCUUGGUGACAGGGCUGUUCACCUUUAUACCAAGAAGUCUGGGAAAGUACCCCAGCCUGAAUGUGGUGUGCACCCAGGCAGACUUCCAGGGUUCAUGGUGUAAGACCUAAAGUCCUUAGGAGAUUAUCUAAAACAAAGAUGCAGUCAUCAGGGCCUGCCAGACCUGUUACAGGACAGAGCAUGCUUUUGUACUGAGGAGCAGAAAAUUGUGAAAGUGUUGAAGGCACAAACGCAGAAUCAGAAAGCUAAAUAAACACGAAGCUUUUUUUAAGUGAAAAUAAAAAAAGUGGGGUGGGGAUGGGGGUUGUAACUUUUAUGGCCCCUAAAAGGAUGAUCUGUAGCAUGCUACUGAUUACCUUAUCAGCAAACGGGGCUCAGCUUUCCUUAGCCCUUCAGACAGUCACUUUUAAUCAGGGUAUGGCCAGCCAAGUGUUGGAGAUAAAAAGUGAACAGAACAGGGCUGGCCAAAUGACUUAGUGGCUAAAGCCAUGGCCAUCAAAUCCCAUGGCCUGAGUUUGCUCCUCGGCCCCCACGCCAUGGGAGGAGAGAACCUAUUUCCUCAAGUCAUUCUCUGACCCCCAUUCAUGCACAGUUGUACAUGUACACACACAAAUUAGAUAAGCAGAAUUUUAAAAAGGAAUGGGCAGAGCUCUUGUCGGCAGUAAAAUUUAUGCCCCAAAUACUGACAACAUAUUUACCCCAUCUGAGAGUUCCUCUUUAUAAGCUUCUCUGAGCUUAUUUGGUAUCUAAAAAAAAAAAAAAAAAAAAAAAAUCUUUGCUAGGAUCUUUCAAAUUCUAGCAUUGAAACUUGUGUACAAAGGAGGUAUAUUUUCCCAGCAGAUACUGACAGCCAUGCUUAAGUUUAACUUGAGUCUGAAUGCUUGUUGAAAUUCAACCUGAAAAGCAGCAAAUGAAGCUAUAUAGCCUGGUCCAGUGCCUGGUAAUUAGAUAGCUACUACUCAAUAAAUUCUAGUACCUUUCUAUAUGAAGCAUCAAACCUGAACCAGGCCAUGAUCACAAGAAAAUUAGCAUAGUUCUUAAGGUAAGAAAUAAUAUUAGGGGACAGUGGUGGCUCAGCCUUUAAUCCCAGCACUCAGGAGGCAGAGGCAGGCAGAUCUCUGUGAGUUGGAGGUCAGCCUGGUCUACAGAAUGAGUUAGUUCAAGGACAGCUAGAGUAAAUCCUGUCUCAAAAAAACAAAGAAAGGAAGAAAGAAAACAGAAAAAAAGAGUGUAAGGCUUUGCGGAUGUUAUGGUAAAUUGAGGCAGCAAACACCAAGCGUAUGGUCCUCUAUUUUUAUCUUUCCUGACUCAUGGCACUCAUUGCUAGCCGAUCACUGGCCUUUGCCACAGAGCCUGACCUUAGCUCUAGCUAGAAUCCUCUCAGUAAACGAUGUAAUCAUUUGCUACCUCCAAGCCAGGAGAAAGAGGUGGAGGAUGGAGAAAUUCUUUCUUAUCUUGUUUAACCCAUCUGUGAAACAGAGGCUCUCAUUUUACACAACCAUUCCAUAUAGCUAUUAUGGGGCAAAGAGGAACGAGGAAGUGUUUGAAAGAUUGAAAAGGACAAGGUAGUCCCGGAAGAGCCCUGUCACUCACCUCUCCUACCAGCAGAGUUUUGUUAAAGUCUGUUUAAGACAGAGGGGAUCUGGGACAGAUUCCGGGUUUUUGUUCGGUUGGUUGGUUUGGUUUUUUGAAACAGUCUCACCUGUGGAGCAUGUUGGCCUCACACUGUUGUCCUCUUGCCUCUGCCUCUGACAGGCUCUUGUCCCAGAAGGACUCUCCUUGAGCCAGUGAGGUGGCUGAACAGGCAAAGGUGUUUGCUGUGCAAACCUAAGGACCCCAGUUCAAGUCCCAGGGCUCAGUGGCAGAAUGCCAGCCAGGUAGAAUAUGAAAUGCUCUGUGCCCCGACUCCUCCCACCCCCCAAAAGGUGACUGCAAUAAUAUUUUUUAAAAGGGCUUUCUUUUUACAAAUAAGGAAGAAAACAGAUGAAAAAGGCAUAGUGAGAGAGAAGGUGACAUGCGCUGGAGGCAGAGGCAGGAGGUAAGGUUACAGUCCCGUUAGGCCUCUUCCGCAACAGAGUUUGUAAUGGGUUACGAGGCAGCAUUGGGCUUGUCCCUCAUCAUCCCCGUUUGCCUCCAACCUGGGCUCCAGGCACUUACUCAGAGCCCUUC